rnacentral:misc_RNA from 1 species
GCCUCAAUCAAACAGUCCUAGUAAUAAAAUAUGAACAAUAACUUGUUGUAAAGAAAUUAAUUUAAAAAAUUACUAGCAUUUUGAAAGUCUUAUCCUAAUAAGCAUUUUGAAAUUCAUAUUUUCGCGCGCUGUCUGAAAAUAGUACCACUAGCGUCAUUCAGCACCGUGCGCGUGCACGAAGCAGACAAUCAAAAGGUGACUGUAAUGAUGAAAAAAAAACUUACGCGCACAGGGUACAGGAAUGUGCUGACGACUUGUUGACGAUGUCCGGAUUUAGCCUGA